GCACGUAGUUGGCCGGGCCUUCUUCUGGAGGUACCGUCAUUUUCGUCCCUCCUGAAAGCGGUUUACAACCCGAAGGCCUUCAUCCCGCACGCGGUGUCGCUGCAUCAGGCUUUCGCCCAUUGUGCAAUAUUCC
rnacentral:rRNA from 1 species